UACGUAGGCAGCGAGCGUUGUUCGGAAUUACUGGGCGUAAAGAGUGUGUAGGCGGUGCUCUAAGUUCGGUGUGAAAUCUCCCGGCUUAACUGGGAGGGUGCGCCGGAAACUGGAGUGCUCGAGCGUGGGAGAGGAAAGCGGAAUUCCUGGUGUAGCGGUGAAAUGCGUAGAUAUCAGGAGGAACACCUGCGGUGUAGACGGCUUUCUGGACCAUAACUGACGCUGAGGCACGAAAGCGUGGGUAGCAAACAGG
rnacentral:rRNA from 1 species